CACUCCGGUGGUCUAGUGAUGAGAGCGUCCGCCUCGGAUGCGGGAGGUCGUGGGUUUGAUCCUCGGCUGAGUCG